rnacentral:rRNA from 1 species
UGCAAUGAGAGUCAUCAAUUUUAUACAUACCCCAGUCUUAUGAAUGUAACAGUUUUAAUAAACAUAAUAAAACUUUUAACAACGGAUCUCUUGGUUCUCGCAUCGAUGAAGAACGCAGCGAAAUGCGAUAAGUAAUGUGAAUUGCAGAAUUCAGUGAAUCAUCGAAUCUUUGAACGCACCUUGCGCUCCUUGGUAUUCCGAGGAGCAUGCCUGUUUGAGUGUCAUGAAACUCUCAACCUUCAACCUUUUUAUUAAGGCUGAAGGCUUGGACUUGGGCGCUGCUGGUUUUUACUAACCGGCUCGCCUGAAAUGAAUUAGCAGAUCCUUUUUGUAAUCGGUUCCACUCGACGUGAUAAGUAUUUCGCCGAGGACAUACGCAAGUAUGGCCGAGAUAAAGGAAGUCUUUAGAUCCGCUUCUAAUUCUUAGAUAGAGCUUGCUCUACUAAACCCCAUUUUAUGAUCUGGCCUCAAAUCAGGUAGGACUACCCGCUGAACUUAAGCAUAUCAAUAAGCGGAGGA